UAUGUAAAAUUCAUUUUAAGAACAGUUUAGAAAACAAAUCACAGUGGAAUAGGGUGGGUCCUAUUGCAGAGAUUAAAGGUGGGGAGGGGAGGAUAACGCACACAGCCUUGAACUCUUGCGCGGGAAAGCAAGGUCCAAAUAUAUAAUGAUGUUCACAGCAGCCCUCUUUAAUGCCAGCAUUUCAUAGUUCUGCUAUUUAAAUAAUAAUAAUAAUAAUAAUAAUAAUAAUAAUAAUAAUAAUAAUUGUACCCCGCCCUCCCCAGCCGGACCUGGGCUCAGAGCGGCUAACAUCAUAUAAAUAAUACAAUAUGCAAAACCAAAAUAAAGUGUUUGGCAACCCUGAUAAAAAAAGCAAAUAAUAAUAGUAAUAAUAAUACUUCUUAAUUUAUGCACAGUUUCACAACUUUAGUGUCUGAACUACCAAAACUAGGCUGUUGUGAGACAGCCUAGCCUGUCUCACAACAGGGCUGUUGUGAAGAUAAAAGGGGGAAGACAACAGGCAACAAAUGUGUGUAAUUUUACAACUCUCAGAAAAACAUACACAUAACCUUAGUAAACAAAAAAGUGUUCCUAUUAAAAGUACAGUCUAUAGGAAUUUUAACUUGAUGCAAGCUGUAAGGUAUUUGCUGAUUCAUUUUGGUACUUUAUAUUUUUGAUUAUGGUUGCUGUAUAUUAAUAAAUAACACUCCAGUGAUGAAAAGCAAAUCAAUGGAUGGGGGAACAUGGAAAACCAGGGUGGGGAGAGAUUGCAAUAGCACCAUUCUUUUCUCAAAAAGAAGGAACCCUCGUUUAUUUAAAGGGGAUUACUUUUCAGCAAAAUACACCCAAGCCAGCAGCUUGUGUUUUCCUCUGUAAAGGCAGCACAUUUGGGAAGUGAAUGAAAUCAUGUGGAUGGGGAGGGUACUUCAACAAACAUACACCUGAGUCCCAAGUGAGAAUGAUCAGCAUUUCUUCUUCAGAUUGCUUACCAACGGUGAAUAAGCAUUCUUAGCAGUGGUGCAGCCUGCGAAGUACUGAAGCCUUAGAAAUGCCUCUGCGCGUUGCCUUCUAACUUUCUUCAGACAUGGCCAAUUGCCCUAUGUUUCUUUUUCUUUUUUUAAAUUUUAAAAAAAUGUAAGCGACGGGGGCGCUGUUGGCUCAGGGCCUGUUAUGUGUGUACCCGCUGAACCUCAUCAGAACCCCCAAUCCUACAAAACCAGGGAGAAGAGCCAUCAAUCCCGAGACUUCUGUUGAAAGCAAAGCAGCAAAACCGGAAGAAACUUCAAUCUGUGGCACAGUUAGUAGUUUACCUUCUAACUUUCUGAUAACAUCUAGAAUGAUGGCAAAGUUCAGAAUGAAUGUGAAAUACCACUCAAAGGGGAAUAUCUGUUUUUAUUAUGUUGCACAUGGGAUAAGGUGAAGAAGAAAAAAAUCAAGACAGCACAUUCAUUAAUCAUUAGCCUUAAAUAGCACAGAGAGAAUCUGGAUAAGUUUGUCAUUAUAUUACAUUUGAUUAAAUAGGAAGCAGCCUUUGCACCAACCAGCUUGCACUAUUCGUUCAUCUAGCCCAGUAUUGACUGCGUUCUGCCAGGGUCCUGUUACAAGAUCCUUUUAAUUGGAGCUACCAAGAAUCACACUUGAGACCUUUUGAGCUACAGAAGCUAUUUAAAUAGGUGUAGAAGCUGAGUGAAUCUCAAGUAGCUAAUAUUUCUUUUGGGUCAGCUUCUAAAUCCUGAAUUUACCAUGCAGUUGUGUGCAAUUCCAUGCAUGAAGGUUUUCUUAAUACUAUAUAUAAAAAAGUGUUACAUGCUUGCUACUGGCUUUACCUAGGACUCGGAAGUACCAUGGCCUGUAGUUUCAGUUGCACUCCUACGCACCUAAGAAUUAAGUCCCAUUGGACUUGACUAGAAGGAAGAGGCAUCUUACUGGCUGGUGGACAGAAUCCUAACAGGAGAGCACAUUAAAUCAUCACCCAUUAGCCCAUUAGACAUCAGUGAUAUUCAAGGUUGAACAACUGCUCAUGCUGCCAUGUAGAUGUUAGUAACUCAGCAUGGGCGAUUUAUGUUUUGGCAGAAGAGGGAUAAAAAUGCAAUUCCACUUCUUUUCAGACAGAUGUAUCUGAGUCCGGCCUAAUUUGAGACGAAGAGGUCCCACUUCCAAGUACAGGUUAAAGAAGUGGUUCAUUUCAAAUCAAGGUUGGAAUCAGUAGCGAGGCUUGGGGAAAUGUGCUCUUGCCAAACUCUCUUCUGUGCAACUUCACGUUUUCAAUGGGGCUUCCUUCUUCAAUCUACUCCAUUGCAGGGUAUAUUGCAAUAAAUACUUUAAAAAUAGGCCUCUGUGUAUGCACAACGCAUGUAAACAGUUGAAAGCAGCUAAUGGUCUGAAGCAAUGACAUUUUGUUUUUAGAAGGAUUUCCAUUCAUUAUUACGCUUAGCAAGGAAAUUUAAACACAGUAAUAAGUAAUUUUAGAUCUCUGCUUCCAUUCCUUAAAAUGUUAAUGCUGUUCAAUUGCCAGUUAAAUAGUACGUGAGUUAUGCUUCUACAUUUUCAAAAGGGGCAGAAUUUUACAAAAGUGAAGAGUGAUUUGCUGAAAAGAGGCUUGGUGGGGAAGCAUGGCAAUUAAAAGGUGUAGAGAAAAAGUCUGCCGCUUAGCCGAGCUUCUAGGGAGCUUCUCUCACCUGCUACUACAACUUCAGUCUGCAAAGACAGAAAGUAUCCAUUAAUACAACAGAAUUCAGUUCCUUGCUUUUUUCUUCUUCUUUUUAGCGGGUCAUUUUGCCAGGGCAAAACAGAUUACCCCUGUGUACAACUGGGCACCAUGCAUAAGGAAGUCAAGUGAUUAUGCUUCCCACCUUCACCAUAGUGGGGUGGUCUCAAGGAAGUUGUGGAACCGUCUUGGUUCUAAGCUACUUCCCUAUGGUUGUGUUGCAGGAAAAAAGCAGGCAAGGCAUGGCCUCUUACCCAGCUGGCAUAGGAGAAACACUCAAGUUAUCACAAGUAGCCCAUGAUUCACCCUGCAGAUGGGCUUGUGAAAACCAGCAGUGCUCGUUUGCCUACCUUUUCUCCAGAUUUCACUGUGAUCACAGCACUCCCAAAUCUUGAUUUUUCCUGCAACAAUAAAACUAUGGUUAUGCACUGUU